CGCCUUCUUGAAUGUGUACGGGUUUCGAUGAGAUUGUUUUGAUAUAUUUUGAUAACAAAAUCGUGUGGAUAAAUUUUAAAGUUCAAAUUUAUAUCCAAAUUUCCAGUAUUGGUCUCAAUCCUAAAGUUGAUAUUCGAAGUUGAAUGAAAGUUAGACCAUUCAAGUUUCUUUAUUCUAGAAAUUUGUGAUGGAGAGUGUGAAUUAUUCGGUUGGAGUUCGCUCCAUAAUGUACAUAUGUUUCGGGCGAGCAAGCACGGCUCAACGGAUUUUUUCUUUUACCGGUGGUUGUACGUUUAAUUUUAUGUACAGAAUAAUCAGACUUCCUUUAUCUGAACUAUCUGAUAAAUAAGGAAAAAAAAACAUCUCCAACGAAAAAUGAAUUUGACUAUUGAGAAUCUGAAAAAUUUACCUAAUAUAAAAAUUAAAUGUUUAAUUUCAAUGCAUGUAAAUCAAUUAGAUGUUGUUUGGAAAACAAAAUAAACAAACCACGUUAAAUAAAUUGGA